AACUUUCAACAACGGAUCUCUUGGUUCUCGCAUCGAUGAAGAACGUAGCGAAUUGC
rnacentral:rRNA from 1 species